GACAGAGGUGGCAAGCGUUGUUCGGAUUUACUGGGCGUAAAGAGUGCGUAGGUGGUGAGGUAAGACCUGUGGGAAAGACCUGGGCUUAACCGAGGCAGGUCGUCGGAUACUGCGGGACUAGAGGACGGUAGAGGCGUGUGGAAUUCCGGGUGUAGUGGUGAAAUGCGUAGAGAUCCGGAGGAACACCAGUGGCGAAGGCGACACGCUGGGCCGUACCUGACACUGAUGCGCGACAGCAUGGGGAGCAAACAGG
rnacentral:rRNA from 1 species